rnacentral:rRNA from 1 species
CAUGGAGGGUGAGAAUCCCGUCCGGUUGAUCAUUUGCGUUUUACGAUACGCUUUCUAAGAGUCAAGUUGUUUGGGAUUGCAGCUUAAAAUGGGAGGUAAAUUUCUCCUAAGGCUAAAUAACGGCGAGAGACCGAUAGCGAACAAGUACCGUGAGGGAAAGAUGAAAAGAACUUUGAAAAGAGAGUUAAACAGUACGUGAAAUUGUUGAAAGGGAAACGAUUGAAGCCAGUCGUACCUUCGGGUAAUCAGCCUUUCGGGUGCGAUUCUGUGGAGUUUGAGGAGCUUAACACCUUCAUGCUUUGCAUAUUCGUGCUCUUGGGUGUACUUGCCCGUGUGGUUGGUUAACAUCAAUUUUGGUGGUCAUAAAAUGACUGGAGGAAUGUAGCUUCGAUCUCGUAUUGAAGUGUUAUAGCCUUCGGUAGAUGUGAUGAUCGAGAUUGAGGAUUGCAACGGAUACCCUUCGGGGCUACCUGUCUGAUCUCUGAUCGUUGCUCUGGUGCCGAAAGCUUGCUUACGGUUAUCAAAGUCGAUGGUCAAUAGGUUAGAAUGGGUUAAAUUCGUUAAGGAUGUUGACGUAAUGG